rnacentral:tRNA from 1 species
CCCUAGGUGGUGUAAAGGGUUAACGUGCUCAGCUGCUAACUGAAAGGCUGGAGGUUCAAGUCCACCCAGAGGUG